UGCAGUCGUACGCUUCUUUUUCCACCGGAGCUUGCUCCACCGGAAAAAGAAGAGUGGCGAACGGGUGAGUAACACGUGGGUAACCUGCCCAUCAGAAGGGGAUAACACUUGGAAACAGGUGCUAAUACCGUAUAACAAUCGAAACCGCAUGGUUUUGAUUUGAAAGGCGCUUUCGGGUGUCGCUGAUGGAUGGACCCGCGGUGCAUUAGCUAGUUGGUGAGGUAACGGCUCACCAAGGCCACGAUGCAUAGCCGACCUGAGAGGGUGAUCGGCCACAUUGGGACUGAGACACGGCCCAAACUCCUACGGGAGGCAGCAGUAGGGAAUCUUCGGCAAUGGACGAAAGUCUGACCGAGCAACGCCGCGUGAGUGAAGAAGGUUUUCGGAUCGUAAAACUCUGUUGUUAGAGAAGAACAAGGAUGAGAGUAACUGUUCAUCCCUUGACGGUAUCUAACCAGAAAGCCACGGCUAACUACGUGCCAGCAGCCGCGGUAAUACGUAGGUGGCAAGCGUUGUCCGGAUUUAUUGGGCGUAAAGCGAGCGCAGGCGGUUUCUUAAGUCUGAUGUGAAAGCCCCCGGCUCAACCGGGGAGGGUCAUUGGAAACUGGGAGACUUGAGUGCAGAAGAGGAGAGUGGAAUUCCAUGUGUAGCGGUGAAAUGCGUAGAUAUAUGGAGGAACACCAGUGGCGAAAGCGGCUCUCUGGUCUGUAACUGACGCUGAGGCUCGAAAGCGUGGGGAGCAAACAGGAUUAGAUACCCUGGUAGUCCACGCCGUAACGAUGAGUGCUAAGUGUUGGAGGGUUUCCGCCCUUCA
rnacentral:rRNA from 1 species